rnacentral:rRNA from 1 species
GAUGAACGCUGGCGGCGUGCCUAAUACAUGCAAGUCGAGCGAACAGAUAAGGAGCUUGCUCCUUUGACGUUAGCGGCGGACGGGUGAGUAACACGUGGAUAACCUACCUAUAAGACUGGGAUAACUUCGGGAAACCGGAGCUAAGACCGGAUAACAUAUUGAACCGCAUGGUUCAAUAGUGAAAGGCGGCUUUGCUGUCACUGAUAGAUGGAUCCGCGCCGUAUUAGCUAGUUGGUAAGGUAACGGCUUACCAAGGCAACGAUACGUAGCCGACCUGAGAGGGUGAUGGGGCACUGUGGAACUGAGACACGGUACAGACUCCUACGGGAGGCAGCAGUAGGGACUCUUCCGAACUGGGCGAAAGCCUGACGGAGCAACGCCGCGUGAGUGAUGCAGGUCUUCGUAUCGUAAAACUCUGUUAUCAGGGAAGAACACAUGUGUAAGUAACUGUGCACAUCUUGACGGUACCUGAUCAGAAAGCCACGGCUAACUACGUG